GUGUGACAGAUUUUGAUGGAUACCAGGAGAACCUGCUGUUAGUCAUGCUGGAGAUCUGAUCAGAAGGGCAGGAGGUACAUGACCUGAAGGCUUUCUAGGCUGCGGUUUUUGUACAGAAGUUCAUUUUUUGAGAGGAAGAAUGUCAUGUCAGAGAUGCUCAGAAAAGCUUGAAUUCUUUGCAGACCUGGCAGAGGGAAUUCCUCUAUAGUGCAGACUGAUCACAGAGUGAGGGCUGUGUGAGAGGAGCUUGUGCUGCUAACAACACGCUGAACCCUGGCAGAAGGCAGGGAAAGAGCAAUCCUUUAAUGCUCGUCAAUACGGGAAAGUCUGAAACAUGCACAGAAGAAUCACCCACUGCAGUUUUGCUUGGUUUUUGCAUUGUUAGGAGCAUGAGACAAAGCCAAAAACCACCUCUCACACUUUCCUGUGGCUGUUGCAUCCUUUAAAUCCAUCUGGGACCAAGGGAGGGGAGCCAGCACAUUGCACCACCAGUGAAGAAACCUAAAGAAGGUUUAUGGGUUGAUGUUUGUUUCUGACCCAGAGCUAGGAGAGAAUUGUGGAACUGACACCAAAUGCAAUAAAUGGUAGAGGCUGGGUACCCAAGAUGGGUACAGCAACUAUUCAAAUAAAUUAUUCAGAGAAAUGACACGAUAUUUUAUGAAACCUGGUCCACUUACAUGUAAGAGGUUGAAUACUUGUGCCAGGGGCCUGAUGACCUUUCCUGUAGCAGUCUCUGCUCAGAGACAGUGGGAUCAAAGAAUUCCUAAUUAGUGGUAUCUCUUUGGGAGGGAGAGAAGGAUUAUUACUCUGCUUUCACUUCUGAAGAUAACACUUAUGUAGUGGUAGCCUAUCUUUGGCAACAGUUUCAAUAUUCAAAUUAUAGUUUUAAUGACGCUAUAAGCAUUCCUAGUUCAAAACAAAGAACUAAGGAGCAAAGACAAGUUGCAAGGGAUGGGUACAAGAAAAAUAUUUUUAAAAUA